rnacentral:lncRNA from 1 species
GAAUGGAGUUAAAGGAUCCCCUUGUCUGAUUCCUCUUUGGGCUUCAAAAUAACCUUCAGGAGCACCAUUAAUGAGGACAUAAAACUUUAUUGUUGAGAUGCAAAAAUGUAUCCAUCUAAUCCACUUUUCUCCAAAUCCCAUUUUUCCAGAGUAUAUUGAGAAGGAGCCCCCAGUUAACAUGAUCAUAAGCUUUCUCAAUGUCCAAUUUGCAUAGGAUGCCUGGUUUCUUUUGACCCACUCUAGAGUCUAUUGCUUCAUUUGCUAUUAACACCGCAUCCAUGAUUUGUCUUCCUUUGAUGAAAGCCAUUUGUUGGGGGUAUACCAGCUUGUACAUCACCCUUUUGAUUCUUUCUGUUAAAACUUUAGACAACAACUUCUAGAAACUGCCUAUCAAGCUUAUUGGUCUGAAGUCUUUAAGUUCCUUUGCUCCUUUCUUCUUUGGGAUCAAGGCAAUAUAGGUGGCAUUGAAACUCUUCUCAAACAUUUCCUGCUUAUAGAAAUUAUGGAAGGCCGCCAUGAUGUCAGGCUUAAGAAUUUCCCAACAUUUGAUGAAAAAACCCAUAGUAUAACUAUCAGGUCCUGGGGCUUUAUCAAUGGCACAUAACUUCAAGCAUUUAUAAACUUCCUGCUCCUCAAAUUUGGCCUGUAGUUGUGAUCUUUCUUCCUCUGAUAUUGAAGGACAAUUCACUAAAUUUCCAUCAGGUCUCCAUCUCUGUUUCAAAAUACAGUUUCUCAUAAAACAGGAUGAUUUCCUCCCUAACUCUGUCUGGUUCUGUGAUGAUCUUUCCCUCUACUUCCAACUGGUCAAAAUGGUUGCUUCUUUUGUGGGCAUUUGCAGAAUUAUGGAAGAAUUUUGUAUUGUUGUCUCCUUCCUUCAACCACAAGAUUCUAGACCUUUGUCUCCAAGCACAUUCCUCAUUUUAGAUCAGUUCUUCGUACUCCAUAAAGAUUUCUGCCUUCAAAGUAGCCUCUUCCUCUGUCAAUGCUCUUUUGUUCAGCAAAGAAUCCAAAUCUGCCAUUUUGUUAAGCAGUUUGGACCUUUGAAUCUGUAGAUUUCCUUUUUCAAUUUUACUCCACUCUUUGAGCUUUUCUUUCAGUGCUUUCAUUUUACAUGCUAGGAUGUAGUCUGGCCUCCCAUAGAAGGAGAAAGAGUUCCACCAGUUACUGAUUUUAUCACUAAAACCUUCUGUGUUCAGCCACCAGUUCUCAAACUUGAAAUAUGAUUUACUAUGUUCCCAAGGUCCACAAAAUAGAGCUAUUGGGACAUGAUCUGAGGUCAUUCUUUGGAAUGUAGUUUGCUUCAUCUUGUUAAAUUGAUCACUCCAUUCAGACGUGAAAAGUAUCCGGUCUAUUCUGGAUGUUGUUGUAUGUGUAUCCCCUUUGAACCAUGUGUAAUGACCUCCUUCAAGUGGCAAAUCUAUAAGCUCUAGGUCCUCAAUAGUAUCAGAGAACUCAAUCAUGGCUGAAGAUCUUCUUUGACAGUUUCUUUUCUCCGAGGAGAACCUGCACACAUUAAAAUCUCCACAAAUUGCCCAAGGCCCUUCCAUUAAUCCUCUGACCCCUCCUAAUUCAUUCCACACCUCCCUCCUUUCCACCUUACAAUUUGGUGCAUAGACCCCUGAGAUGUGGCAGUUGAAAUUUUGAAGUAAAGCCUCAAAACUACAUGUUAGAGUAUAAGCACCAACUUGUAGUAUCUCUCCCUUCCACACCCUGCUAUCCCAUAACAUAAUGAUUCCCCCUCUUGUUCCACUUGCCUCUAUGUGACGGGGUUGAUCAUUUCUGAUGAUUGACAAUUUUUAAUGGUAUAAAGCUGGAAGAAGAUUUUUUGGCUGGGUCUUGUGGAAAAUGAUGUGAAGCUGUGAAAGCAACUUGAAUAUUGGUUUGUGCUUAUAUUGGUAUGGGAAUUCACAUGCCUGGUUUCAUUACUUUUCUAACGGUGUUAAACAAAAAGAUGAAAGUUGUUAAGCAUUAAAUACUUCAAGGAUGUAUUUUGUUAACUAUGGUGGUUCAAGGAUGUGGCUUAAGUUUUGAAUAUAGUUGGAGGAUGUCUCUAGCCAAAAACUCAUGUAAAAUGUUAUUUUGCUGUCAUAUUUUUUUCUUGCAAAACCUACUUUGAAUUCUUUUUCUUUUGAGUUGAGGGUCUAUCAAAAACAAUUUCGCUCUACACCACAAAAGACAGGGGUAAGGUCGGCUUACAUCCUACCCUCCCAAAAAAUCCUACCAUCCACAUACCCCACUUGUGGGUUAAUAUUACAGUGGGAAUGUUGUUGAUUUUUAUACAUAUAGUGCAACUUCUAACGAGUCCUAAACCCUUAAACUUUGUUUGGAUGGUCGUUAUAUAUUGUUUCAUAUUGUAUAGUAUAGUACUGCAUUGUUUUAAUCAAUGUAAUGUUUGGAUAGAUUUAUCAUUUCUCAUCAUUACAUAAUGUCACACAUCAACAAUUUGAAAUACAACCUAAGCAAAAGUAGGAUACUGGGUAAAACGAAAAGGUAGGGUAAAUGAUAAAAUAGAAUUAUCAAAUAACAAAUAACGACAAAAUUAGAAAAAAAAAUAAGAUGAUCAUGCAAUCACACCAAAUCAGUUAUUACACAAAGCGGGACUUCACCUAACAAUAAAUUUAACCAUACAAUAAAAUCUAAGAAGUAACAAUCAAAACUAACAUCCUAUUUAAACUAAGAACACAAAACAAUACAACAGGUAACAACCAUCCAAACAAGCGGUUAAUUGAACAAUGUUAAUAAUUUUGAGAUAUCCAAUAGGAAAAGGUGUUAAUACACUUGCCUCUCAUUAAUCUUGAUCCUCCUCCGCUGUUCUGUCUCAGAAUGCUUCGAACGAUGAGCAGUUACCUUCCCAUCAUUGCUCUUCCCUUCUAAUUUCCCUGUCACACUCAAACCCCAUUAGCUUUUAUCCAAAAAAAAAACAUCAAAUCCCAGUUAGUUUAGAAAUAGCAAAUUAAAUACCCUUUUGAGAAGAACCAUCGGGAGUUCUAGAUGAAAACUCUUCAUCGUCUUCUUCGUCCUCUUCAUGAUUAUUCUUCACAGUCCUCACCAUUUCAAAAUCUGAAACCAGAUGACAAAAAUCAGUCGAAACAACAACUUAUUAACGGUUAACAAAAGAAGAUUAAACAGAGAGACUGACGAUUUCGCUAAAAGGCUCCGAUUAUCGAAGAACACUUGCAAAACAUACACCGAAUAAUGUGUGUACAGAGAAAUGUUGUUUGGCUAAUUAUUGGAAACCCUAGGCAAUUAAGUGGAUGUUUUGGUAGGUUCUAAAUUGCCCUUGCAAUGACACUCCAUUAUAUUUUUUCAUUUGUGUUUUAAAAAAAUUAAAUUAGUAUACAUUGCGCCAUGUUUGGAAAAUUAUAAAAACAUGAGUUUUAUUAAGAUAUAUAUAUAUACUAGUAACGAAAGCCCGGGCGCUGCUCGGGCCCAACAUUAACAAAGUUAUAUUGUUAUUCUCUCCGUCCCAUAUUAGAUGAGAAUCUUACUAAAAAAAAAAAUUUCAUAUUAUUUGAGCACUUAUUAAAUUAGGAUAGAAUUAAUUAAUUCUUCGGAAAAUGGUCAAAAUUGCCCCUGAACUAUGAGAUAUAGACCACNNNNNNNNNNNNNNNNNNNNNNNNNNNNNNNNNNNNNNNNNNNNNNNNNNNNNNNNNNNNNNNNNNNNNNNNNNNNNNNNNNNNNNNNNNNNNNNNNNNNAAAUCCCAUUUUCCUGAGUAUAUUGAGAAGGAACCCCCAGUUAACAUGAUCAUAAGCUUUCUCAAUGUCCAGUUUGCAUAGGAUGCCUGGUUUCUUUUGACCCACUCUAGAGUCUAUUGCUUCAUUUGCUAUUAACACCGCAUCCAUGAUUUGUCUUCCUUUAAUGAAAGCCAUCUGUUGGGAGUCUACCAGCUUGUACAUCACCCUUUUGAUUCUUUCUGUUAAGAAUUUAGACAACAACUUAUAGAAACUACCUAUCAAGCUUAUUGGUCUAAAGUUUUUAAGUUCCUUUGCUCCUUUCUUCUUUGGGAUCAAGGCAAUAUAGGUGGCAUUGAAACUCUUCUCAAACAUUUCCUGCUCAUAGAAAUUAUGGAAGGCCGCC